rnacentral:lncRNA from 1 species
AUUUUUUUAAAGGUCUAAGAUGCCUGUGGCUUCCCACCAGUGAGUGGAUUUGGGACUGUUUUACUGUGUUGAAGUCUACUUCCAUAGAUAUUUAUAUGUACAAGAUGGACCACAGAUUGACAGCCUUCAGGAAACCAACUUCCCUUAACACAUUUAGAAAUGGAUCUAAAUCCAGACCUUGCUGAGCAGAAGCUGGAAAGAGGGUUUCUAGGUGCAGACCAGUUCCCAGGUCCAGUCUGAUGUGAUGUUCUUCGUAUUCCUCAGAAGAUUAAGGCCAAGUUCAUUCUUGCAUCUCCGUGCUGCAGUGUGAUCGCUGUGUUCUC